CUGGUCAUAUGAUGAUUGAACUAAAAUCACCAUCUUUCGGCUGAUUUGUGAUGUAAAUGUUCUUGUCUGACUGCACCAG